rnacentral:rRNA from 1 species
UGGGGAAUAUUGGACAAUGGGCGCAAGCCUGAUCCAGCCAUGCCGCGUGAGUGAUGAAGGCCCUAGGGUUGUAAAGCUCUUUCACCGGUGAAGAUAAUGACGGUAACCGGAGACGAAGCCCCGGCUAACUUCGUGCCAGCAGCCGCGGUAAUACGAAGGGGGCUAGCGUUGUUCGGAUUUACUGGGCGUAAAGCGCACGUAGGCGGACUUUUAAGUCAGGGGUGAAAUCCCGGGGCUCAACCCCGGAACUGCCUUUGAUACUGGAAGUCUUGAGUAUGGUAGAGGUGAGUGGAAUUCCGAGUGUAGAGGUGAAAUUCGUAGAUAUUCGGAGGAACACCAGUGGCGAAGGCGGCUCACUGGACCAUUACUGACGCUGAGGUGCGAAAGCGUGGGGAGCAAACAGG